rnacentral:snRNA from 1 species
AUACUUACCUGGCAGGGGAGAUACCAUGAUCACGAAGGUGGUUUUCCCAGGGCGAGGCUUAUCCAUUGCACUCCAGAUGUGCUGACCCCUGCGAUUUCCCCAAAAAAAAAAAAAGAAAACUGUCUAUAGGUGC